GUUCAUAGUACGUGAAACCGUUCAGGGGUAAACCUGAGAAACCCGAAAGGUCGAAUGGGGAGAUUCAGCGUGUCUCGUCGCAGGAGAGUUCUGGUCGCGUGACGAUUCGGUGCUUGCACCGGACUGCACCUUUCGGAUCCGUAACCUGUGGCGAGCUCGUGCACUUCUCCCCUAGUAGGACGUCGCGACCCGUUGGGUGCCGGUCUAAGGCCGACGGUGGAGCCUUGGACGAUAUCCUUCUGGAUAUCGCCCAAGACCCGUCGUGUCCCGGCCGGCCCGCUCGACGGUGUGACAGAGACGUGGGGUCGCCAAUUGUUGGCGUCCGGCCCGUCACAAGUUCGGGCGGCCGCCCGGAUGUCGGACCUGUGUGCCGACCUCGGGCCCGCACGACUGUUGGUGACGGUGUCCUCGGACAGACUUCGAACACGUCGGUCGGCGACGCUCUAGCUUUGGGUACUUUCAGGACCCGUCUUGAAACACGGACCAAGGAGUCUAGCAUGUGCGCGAGUCAUUGGGACCGCAUCUAAACCUAAAGGCGAAAUGAAAGUGAAGGCCGCGUCGCGCGUGCCGAGGGAGGAUGGGUCGGGCUCUGCCCGCAACCC
rnacentral:rRNA from 1 species